GCCAUACGUCUUCGGACCAAAGUGGGGGACCUUCGGGCCUCACGCCAUCGGAUGUGCCCAGAUGGGAUUAGCUAGUAGGUGGGGUAAUGGCUCACCUAGGCGACGAUCCCUAGCUGGUCUGAGAGGAUGACCAGCCACACUGGAACUGAGACACGGUCCAGACUCCUACGGGAGGCAGCAGUGGGGAAUAUUGCACAAUGGGCGCAAGCCUGAUGCAGCCAUGCCGCGUGUGUGAAGAAGGCCUUCGGGUUGUAAAGCACUUUCAGCGAGGAGGAAGGCAUAAAGGUUAAUAACCUUUGUGAUUGACGUUACC
rnacentral:rRNA from 1 species